rnacentral:rRNA from 1 species
UACGGAGGAGUGACAAGCGUUAUCGAAAUUACUGGGCGUAAAGCGUGCGUAGGCGGUUCGUUAAGUCUGUUGUGAAAGCCCCGGGCUCAACCUGGGAAUGGCAAUGGAUACUGGCGAGCUAGAGUGUGUCAGAGGAUGGUGGAAUUCCCGGUGUAGCGGUGAAAUGCGUAGAGAUCGGGAGGAACAUCAGUGGCGAAGGCGGCCAUCUGGGACAACACUGACGCUGAGGCACGAAAGCGUGGGGAGCAAACAGG